AGCUCAUCGGGAUAGAGCGCCAGCCUUCGAAGCUGGUUGCGCGGGGUUCGAGUCCUCGA
rnacentral:tRNA from 1 species